UGUUCUAGACACUGAAAAUACAGCUUUGACCCAAGAGGACAUAGUUCCUGCCACCACGGAGCUCACAUUUUAGUGGGAGGAGACAGUCAAACAACCGUACGCUAUGAAGAAAAAUUAAGGGUAAAGGGGGACGACAAGUCAUUGCAACAUUUUCUCCUUUCAUUGGUGUUCUUUCUUUUCCAUUUGAAUUGUCUUGUUUUACUGUCUCAAAUUUGCACAAAUGCAAGAUUUGUUUGGAUUUAUAUCACAUGAGCAGGACUAACAAUAUUAGAAUUCUCUGAGAAGGUUACAUUCAGAUAAUGAUCCUUGUUAGAGUUUCACAGAGUAUGAUUUUCUUCCUAACCUAGAUGGCAUUGGAUAAGAGCUUUGAUGGCUCAGAGGAACUCAGGGAAUUCUGGAGCGUGAAAUAGGUAUUUGAGGAGUAGCUACGUGAUAGAGGGAGCAGGUGAAAUGGAAACCUGAGAGCAGACUGACCAUGGCAGGCAGAGGGAAGAGCGGGGGCAGAGGCCUGUGUCUGGAGGGUGACUGAUGUGCUCACGGCACAGCAGGGUGGCCAAGGCGGCCAGAACAACAUCAACAAAACAAAAGUGCUAGAAGUCAGAGCUGGGAGCCAGAAUUAGUGGGGCCUUUUAGGCCACCAUAAGGAUUUUGGAUUUUACUCUAAGAUAGGAAAUCAUUGAAGGACUGAUUUGACCGAAUCUCUUUAGCUGCUUUGUAGAAAAUAAACACAAGGGUAAAAGUGGAAACGGGAAGAUUGAUUAGGGGGCUAUUAUGAUCCUUCUGGCAGUGUGGUUGACAAUGGUCCAGGUGAGGCAAGGAGUGAGGGAGUGGCAAGCUGCCGAAUACAUUUUGAAGGCCAAAAUGACAGAAUUUGCAGACAAAUUUGUUUUGGAGUACAAGAGAACAAAAGGAAUCAAAGACGACGCCAGGAUUUUUGGCCUGAGCAACUAAAAGAUGGACUUGCCCUUUACAGAGAAGAGGAAGAGGAAGACUGGAGCAGGCGCGUGGCUGGGAGGGAGUCUGAAAAUCAGGAGCUGACAUAAGUUGGAGAUGCCCGUUGGACAAACAGGGAAACGUUGAGAGGGCAGCUGGGUGCGUAAGUCUGGAGAUGAGGGCUGGGCUGCUGAUAGGCAUUUGGAAGUCAUCAGAGUGUAAAAGGCUUUUAAAGCCACCAGACAGAAUGAGACUAUCUAGGGAGUGUCGAUGGAAAAGGCUUCUGAAGCCUUUGCCUGGGACUCUCUAGUUUUUCCUCCUAGGAGGAAGGAGCAGCCAGAAAAGCAGAAUGAGAAGGAACAAUCUGUGAGGCUGGAGGAGACCCCAGAGCAAGUGUACUUUGUACCCUGGAGGCCAACGGGAAAAAAGUGUUUUAAGAAAGAGUCAUCAUUUGUGUCAAACGCUGGCAGGAAAAGAUAACGACAGACAACUGACCAUUGAAUUUGAUCAUGUGAAGCCAGUUUCUUUGGAAUGCUGGAGACAAAGCCAUUCUGAAAAGAAUGGAAGAAAGAAAGUGAGACAAGAAUAGACAACCCUUUUGAGGAGUUUCUCUGCCAAGCUAUUGAUCUUCCUGAAGACCUCAACUGAUUACAAGGAGAAACAUUCUGAAAGACUUCCUGCUCGCUCCCUGGCGUGUGCCAGAAAUGGUGGCUGAUCAUCACAGUCUUCAAUCCCAUUCGUCAUGUGACACAAAUCACGGCUUUCACUGGUUCGCUGUCUGCGGGGCCUUCUUGAAGAUCUUUCUGGUUGGCUGGAAUCCAUCUUUGCCUUAUCUGAGCCUCGCUCACUUUCAGCAGGGUCUUGAAAACACUGCGAAUAGCAGCCCCAGGAGGGAGCCAUCACUUCUACAUGUGAAGAAAUGAAGCUCAAGAGGGAACAACCCGACUUCUGACGCUGCCAGAUCUGCAGGUCCAGUUCCACCACUAAAGCACUUUCUGCUAAGCUGCGUGGAAGGCACUUGAAAUUAUUAAAUUUUAGUUCGAAGGUUAUUUCUUCAUGAAAUUAUGAACAAGAAUAUCGGAAAAACAUCUGAAGUUCUCUAAUAACCAUAUCCCAUAAUAAAUACUUCAUUCAAUUGUAAAAUUGUUUCCUUCACUUCUCUAUUUUUAAAAAUUUUGAAGGUUACUUUUAAGGUUCUUCAGUAAUUUCUGAAAGUGUCUCAGGUAGGAGGAACAUUUCUUUGACUACCUAUAUAAUUUAUAUCAGUAAAUACUGCAGUUAAGCAUUAGAUCCAAAAACAGAAAAUUCUUAACAACAAAGAAAUAUGAAACAUGAAAUCUGAACCAAGAACACACAAGUAUAUAAAGCUAAUAAACAACAAAAGUGUGUAAGUUAAGCUUAGUAAACAUGUGCAUGGAGUGAAAACUAGAUCGUUGUUUUUAUACUAAUCUUGAAACUAACCACAAUCUUAAUGGAGCUGAAGUUUUCUAUAAUCUGUCAAUUUUUUAAGGCCUAAUACAGUUUCUCAUGUUACCAGACAUGACAUGAUACUUAUGACAAUUCUAGACGGUCGAGAUGGAAUAUUUCCCUGGAACAAAUUGUCCUUCCCAAUUCAAAUAAAAGAAAAUAGCUUAACUUCUGUGAAGGAAAACAUGUGUCUUUAAGGAAAUGUGAAAGCCUGCAAGCUUUACAAACUUCAGUUAUUAUUUGAAAAACUAAAAAUGUUCAAUAAACAAUUCUUAAAUAAAUAUGUAUCAUUUCAAGGUUACAACUCAUGUAUGUACUCCAUGUCUGUAUAAAACACCUUUGGAGACCUUUCACUUAAAAAAAAAAAGUUAAAAUAGUUUAAAAACCAAGAUGUGCACCUGAACUGGCCAGGCUGUGAAGUCAAAUAUUCCCCACCUAAUUAAUCGGACAAGUUACUUAAAACUCACUGUAAAUUUUAAUUUAGCUGUAAAAUGAAU